rnacentral:rRNA from 1 species
UACGUAGGGAGCAAGCGUUGUCCGGAAUCAUUGGGCGUAAAGCGCGCGUAGGUGGCCUCAUAAGUCCGCUGUGAAAGUCAAAGGCUCAACCUUUGAAAGCCGGUGGAUACUGUGAGGCUAGAGUACGGAAGAGGCGAGUGGAAUUCCUGGUGUAGCGGUGGAAUGCGCAGAUAUCAGGAGGAACACCAAUAGCGAAGGGCAGCUCGCUGGGACGUUACUGACACUGAGGCGCGAAAGCGUGGGGGAGCGAACAGG